AACCUCACCGCGACAUUCAAGAAGCCUUUUGAAACCCGCAUUGGAUCGAAGAAGAAGAAGAAGAAGGAAUGAUGAAUGUUUUAUGUAUGUUGCUUUCUCAGCUAGGUAUUGUCUGUAUUGGCCUUGUCGAGUGUUAGCGGCAAUGUUUUUGGUAGCGCUCCUAGUGUUGCUAAAACGCUACGUAGCGCAUGCAGAUUUGACUGCACACCAAUGCUAUUGAAGGGGCAAAUUACGUUAAUACGUGGACAUCAGGAACACUUCCCAGUCAAUUGAUAAUAGACUUGCCUCCAUUGGAUUGAACAUAAUGGAUGCCUCACAUGCCAUCCGAAAGGUGAUGUAUUCUCGUCAACACGAAAACCGCAUAGUGGUCUGUUCCAAUGAUUUUCAGGUCGCUAUUUGGGAUGCCUCAUACUCAUUAUUGAAAUUUUAUUUUUCUGCAAGGGGGCAUAUUUGGUGAAGGGUUGUUUAGAUUGCUGGAGCCUGGAAGGAACAUAAAAACCAGUUACACUGCAAUUAAUAUGCUUUAUUGUUUGAGAUUUACUGCGCCCAAACAUUGGUAGAACCCUGUCCAUCUACACGCAAACAUGUGCUGAUAUGGCACACUUGAGCAAGAUUCGAGGUUUCCACCAGGUAGUCCACACUUUUUAGAUCUUUUGGCCUAAAAACCAGGCUGUUGCACUACUCAUGUGGCCCACUGAGCACCAAAAGGGGAUACUAUUAAAAAAAGGAAAUGCUAAAGUUGUUUAGCCAUCAACUUGUCUUGUGCAUUGGGGUCACCCAUAUGACGAUUGAAGUAGCAUGUUUCUAAACCAGGAGAUAUAAGUCAUAUAAUCAGUGUGGCCCACCUGGUGGAAUGCUUAGUUCUCACUGCCACACACACAUUUUCUAUAUUUGCAUGUGGAAGCUUGUAAAUGGGCAAUAUUCUACUUGUAUGGGGGCUUAGCAAAAAACAUCUAGGUUGUCUUAGUAGGAAGAUCUAUAAGCAUUUCCUUUUACCUUUUUAGCUAGAGGAGUUAUAGUAUCUGAAAGGGGUUGGAUCAAUACAGUGCUUUGUACAUUAAGCUUGAUAUACAAAUUGCAUAUUUUGCA